rnacentral:misc_RNA from 1 species
AAAAUGCGAUAAGUAAUGUGAAUUGCAGAAUUCAGUGAAUCAUCGAAUCUUUGAACGCACAUUGCGCCCGCCAGUAUUCUGGCGGGCAUGCCUGUUCGAGCGUCAUUUCAACCCUCAAGCCCCCGGGUUUGGUGUUGGGGAUCGGCAUUAGCCA